CCAAAGUGCUGGGAUUACAGGUGUGAGCCACCGCGCCGGGCCUAUUUUUGUUUUUGUUUUUGUUUUUUUUUUUUUUGAGAUGGAGUCUCACUCUGUCGCCCAGGCUGGAGCACAGUGGCGUGAUCUCGGCUCACUGCAGACUCUGCCUCCCGAGACAUUUCUUUAAAAGAUAAUUGUUUAAAGUAAAAUAACAGCAUUGUACUGCGGAGUUCAUAGCAUACACAGAAGAGAAAUGUAUGACAAUAGCACAAAGGCUGGGAGAGGUGAAAUGGAAGUACAGUAUACUGUUUUAAGGUUCUUACACAAUGUGCGAAUUGGCAUGUUUUUAUUUGAGGUGAGACUGGGGUGAAGCUGUCUGCUGUAAAACUUAGAACGAAUUCAAGACCUGGUGCAGGAACUGCACAAGACCGGCCUAGAAUAUCUCGUCACUCCAGAUAGCCAGUGUGAGCCUGUGAAACUGCGUUUGUUAAUUAACAAAAGAACAAAGUGCUGAGAAACCCUCUUUUCUCUAAUCACAACUCUCGGAAACUUUGUAUUUGAAAUCAUAUCGGCAAGAAGGAAACGUUAUAUUCUUCCCCCAGGAACUGAGCCUUUCAGUACAGAAAAGCAGCCUUCAUUUCAAAGCCAGGUGCUGGUGUCAGAUAAGGGGUUUUGGAAAACAAAAUUCCACAACUCUCCUCAUUUUGUACUUUCCAUGGAAACAGGAUCCUGAAUCCGUUUCUCAGCCUAGGCCUGAUGUUAAUUCCUUUACACUUUGCCCUGUGGCCCUGCCUUGCUUUGAAGUCUAUCAGACCCUGCUUCAUUUACAUUAUACUGGAAUCUGCCCUUUUCUGUCAUCCUACAGUACCCUAUUUGUUUCUUCGUUUGGUGACUCCUCCUGCGCCCCCAACCACCCACAGGUCCUUUGGUGUGCAGUUUCCUUUGCUGUGGUAAGUUAAUAGAUCUGACCGUCAGACUGCUAGUGUGUCCUUGUGGUCUUUAUAAGAUGGACUUGAUCACAAGUAAGCUAUCAAAGGUUACCAGGGAUAUGUAAAAUAAGGCUCAAGGGUCAUAUUAAAGAAGCUCCACCUAGCCACGGAUGGGACAAUUUCAGUUUCCUUAAGCAUAAAGAUCGUAAUGAAUGCAAAUUCAUUAAAUAUAGUUAAAUCCAUGCAUUUUUAAUGAUACAAAAAUUAUUUCGUCGGCCGGGUGCAGUGGCUCACGCCUGUAAUCCCAGCACUUUGG
rnacentral:lncRNA from 1 species